UACGGGGGGGGCAAGCGUUGUUCGGAAUUACUGGGCGUAAAGGGCUCGUAGGCGGCCAACUAAGUCAGACGUGAAAUCCCUCGGCUUAACCGGGGAACUGCGUCUGAUACUGGAUGGCUUGAGUGUGGGAGAGGAAUGCGGAAUUCCAGGUGUAGCGGUGAAAUGCGUAGAUAUCUGGAGGAAUACCGGUGGCGAAGGCGGCAUUCUGGACCAUUACUGACGCUGAGGAGCGAAAGCCAGGGGAGCAAACGGG
rnacentral:rRNA from 1 species